CGUCGCACAGGACUCCCAUACUAACUGUGUCCUUAUCACCCUUUCAGGAUAAAUGGCUCUGAGUGGAAAAGUUGCCAUUGUUACUGGGGGCUUGCAGGGGCUGGGAAAAGCCUUCACAGAGAUCCUUCUGAAAUAUGGAGCAAAGGUGAGCCUCUUGGAUAUUAAAGUGCCCACCGGAAAUAAACUGAAAGCUGCUUUAGAUAAAUAGUGUGGUUCAGACCGUACCUGCUUAAUUUCCUGCGAUGUCACUUCAGAAACACAGCUUCAAGGAUGCCUCUCGAAUGAGUGACUACGGGGUGCGGAUAAAUGUGUUGUGUCCUUCUUUCGCAAAAACUGACAUACUGGAAACUUUCAACACAGACGAUCUCAUGGGACAGUUCUCCAACCUCAGACAAACUACAUAGAAACUACUGGAGCAUAUUGGAGUAUUAGAGUGAGUUUCAUUCUAGUCUCUGCUCUGGUGGCAGUGUGGUGUGGCAGAGCUUGAUUUUAAGGAUCAGCAGCAUCUAAUACAAAGUGUGGCUUAUCUGCUUUUUGCCAUUUAUACCCCCCACCCCCAAUCUCACCCUCUGUAUUUUAUAAAUAUUUUUUGGCAAUUGUUCAGAAUUGCAUUCUAAAGACACAUUCAUUCCUCUAGCGGCUGGAACAGCUGCAGUUACAUUACUGACAGCACGCUUGCCUUGGGGCAAUGCUUAUAUAUGCUGGAUCUACUAGAUGUCUUGUAACAGUGCCUGUCUGAUUAGAGAUUAUCUAGUAUUGAAAGGUGGAUGCUGUCUGUCACAAUCUCUAUUAGGAAUAUUGAAUUUACACAGGCAUGGGGAAGGCAGUCUUUGUUUAUUUGCGGUAUGUGCAGUGACGAAUCUGAAUGUCCCUCUGAUGUCCACAGCCCGUCUCAGGUGGCUGAGAAGUUUCUGCAGUUAGUGACGGACGACAGCAGGAAUGGGGCAGUGCUGAGGGUGACCCAGGCAGGAGCCAGCUAUAUGGAGUACCCAAAAAGUGUUAUGUGAUCUGCGGGAAAAAACCCCAGAGCUACAAUAUAUCCACUGCGCUUCAAACCAGUCACAAUAUAUCCAUCAUACUUCAAACCAGAGCCACAAUAUAUCCACUGUACUUCAAACCAGUCGCAACAUAUCCACUGCUCAACAACAAUAAUAAUAAUAAUAAUAAUAAAUAAUAAUAAUAAUAAUAAUAAUAAUAAUCAAUACAAAUGAUUUUAAACACUUCAGUAUUUUUGCAGUUGUUCUGUUCCCAGUGUACAGGUGUUUCAAAACUAGACCAUAAUAAGUGUAGAUGAUCUAUUUCACUCUCAGUUAGUGCUCAGGACCCCAGUAAGUAGAGCCUGUGUUGGACACUAUGCGAGAUACAGGUUAAUAUAAACACUGUAACAUGUUUAGUUUUGUCUCUGAACUGCUUUCUACCCUGGUGUGGUUCCUCCCCACAGAACUGUAGGUUGCAGUUGGUUUAAAUAACAAGCUAGAUAUCUAAAUUUCAGUUUUAGGUAUAUUUGUUUCUUGUCAUUAGCCAAUAACAUUGAGAAUUUGAAACCUCACACCGGCAUUCUACAGUGUUUUCAUCCACAUUUUAAUUGCAUUGUAAAUGACUUACCACAAGGUGUCGCUAAAAUGCCACUGAAGUACUUGUUAAAGUCUCUAGGGCCAGUUGAAUUGGUAGGAAUCUCUGGGCUAAAGCUGUACAAACAGACACUCAUCUACUGUAGUCUCCACCAGCAAAUACUAAACCCCUCACCCAGAGCAAUAUUUAACAUGAACAAAAACAGCAGUAAAUGAUCCCAAAUAAUGUGUCUUCAAUUAAAAAUACUAAUAUUUAGGGAUGCAUACAGUAUCCUACAUCUGUCUAUCUAAGCCUGUAAAUGUUUGCUUCCUGUUAUGAUAUAGCGUUUGCUGUGAGAGAUGUAUGCUGUGUAUCAUACACUGAUGAAUGCUAAUCAGCACAACUGUAUGAAUUGUGAACUUGUCUUCAGGGCAAAGUCGAUGCUGGAGCUCUUUAAAUGAAUGCUGCAGAACCAGCCCGCUGUAGCUCUGAUGCGGUCCUGAUCAACCACUGGAGAGACAGCUCCAGUAACCUCAAGAGGCAAUCACUUUAUAUCUGGUUAGAGCUGUUGAAGACAGAGGGCAACAGGCAGCAGCUGCAACACAUGGGCUGCAUUUCAAUAUUGCACACACAUCUUCUAGCAAUGUUUAGGUGCGUCCCUAAUAAACUUUUCAGGCUGCAUGCUUGCACUGUGUGUGUGCCGUUUCCCUCAGUGCUUCCUCAUGGUUAUACUGUGCUACGCAUUUACUAUUGUUCACCCCUGUUUGCCAUGUUUAUUAAUAUGCUUUACCAGACCUCGUUAUUUUUCACAAUGCUUGCCUGUGCUUCACC